ACUGACAGCCAUGGUUACCGCGGCUGCUGGCACGGAGUUAGCCGGUGCUUCUUCUGUGAGUGAUGUCCUUCCUGCCGGUUAUUGACCCGCAGGCCUUCUUCCUCACUGAAAGUGCUUUACAACCCGAAGGCCUUCUUCACACACGCGGCAUGGCUGGAUCAGGGUUGCCCCCAUUGUCCAAUAUUCCCCACUGCUGCCUCCCGUAGGAGUCUGGGCCGUGUCUCAGUCCCAGUGUGGCUGAUCAUCCUCUCAGACCAGCUACGGAUCGUCGCCUUGGUGAGCCGUUACCUCACCAACCAGCUAAUCCGACAUAGGCUCAUCCGAUAGCGCGAGGCCCGAAGGUCCCCCGCUUUCCCCCGUAGGGCGUAUGCGGUAUUAGCCUGGGUUUCCCCCAGGUUAUCCCCCACUACCGGGCAGAUUCCUAUGCAUUACUCACCCGUCCGCCGCUCGCCACCAGGGAGCAAGCUCCCCGUGCUGCCGCUCGACUUGCAUGUGUUAGGCCUGCCGCCAGCGUUCAAU
rnacentral:rRNA from 1 species